AGGAGUCAGACAGCGACAGAUAAAUGCCAUUGUCAAAAGGGAAACAGCCCAGAUCGCCAGCUAAGGCCCCAAAAUUACGGUUAAGUGGUAAAGGAUGUGGAUUUGCUAAGACAGCUAGGAUGUUGGCUCAGAAGCAGCCAUUCAUUCAAAGAGUGCGUAAUAGCUCACUAGUCGAGUGAGUCUGCGCCGAAAAUCACCGGGGCUAAACCGUAUGCCGAAGCUGCGGGCGCAACGCAAGUUGCGCGGUAGAGGAGCUUACUGUAAGCAGUAGAAGCACGAUCGAUAAGGACGUGUGGAUGUAUCAGUAGUGAGAAUGUCGGAAUAAGUAACGAGAGAAAAGUGAGAAUCUUUUCCGUCGAAAAUCCAAGGUUUCCUGGGGAAGGGUCGUCCUCCCAGGGUUAGUCGGGACCUAAGACGAGGCCGAAAGGCGUAGCCGAUGGACAACAGGCAGAUAUUCCUGUACUACCGAUACUCGUUAUGAGAGAGGCGGGGACGCAGGAGGAUAGCCGGAGCGCGCUGCAGGAAAUGCGCGUCCAAACAUCGAGGAUAUCUGAGUAGUUAAGUACGCUCGGAGUUUCCAAGGUGCGAUGGGGAGGGAAUUAUAAGUACCGAAGCCGGUGAUUUCACACUGACGAGAAAAGCCGCUAUCCAGAGUAAUGGUACCCGUACCGCAAACCGACACAGGUGGAUGAGGAGAGAAUCCUAAGACGAGCGGGAGAAGCGUUGUUAAGGAACUCGGCAAAUUAACCCCGUAAGUUCGCAAUAAGGGGAGCCUCGGAGCAAUCCAGGCCGCAGAUAAAUGGCCCAAGCAACUGUUUACCAAAAACACAGGUCUCCGCUAAAUCGUAAGAUGAGGUAUGGGGGCUGACGCCUGCCCGGUGCUGGAAGGUCACGGGAAUCCGUCAGAGCAAUCGAAGCGGUGAACUUAAGCCCCAGUAAACGGCGGCCGUAACUAUAACGGUCCUAAGGUAGCGAAAUUCCUUGUCAGGUAAGUUCUGACCCGCACGAAUGGCGUAAUGAUUUGGGCACUGUCUCGACAACGUACCCGGUGAAAUUGUAGUACUUGUGAAGAUGCAAGUUACCCGCGACAAGACGAAAAGACCCCAUGGAGCUUCACUGUAGAUUGUUACUGGGAUUCGAUAUUGUCUGUAGAGGAUAGGUGGGAGACUUUGAAGCACCGGCGUCAGCUGAUGUGGAGUCAACCUUGGAAUACCACCCUGGCGAUAUUGGGUCUCUAACCUGUGGCCGUGAUCCGGUCAGGGGACAAUGGCAGUCGGACAGUUUGACUGGGGCGGUCGCCUCCAAAAAGGUAACGGAGGCGUCCAAAGGUCACCUCAGUACGGUUGGAAACCGUGCGACGAGUGCAAAGGCAUAAGGUGGCUUAACUGCGAGACAGACAGGUCGAGCAGGUACGAAAGUAGGGCUUAGUGAUCCGGCGGUAGAAAGUGGAAUUGCCGUCGCUCAACGGAUAAAAGUUACCCUGGGGAUAACAGGCUGAUCUCCCCCAAGAGUUCACAUCGACGGGGAGGUUUGGCACCUCGAUGUCGGCUCAUCACAUCCUGGGGCUGAAUUAGGUCCCAAGGGUUCGGCUGUUCGCCGAUUAAAGUGGUACGCGAGCUGGGUUCAGAACGUCGUGAGACAGUUCGGUCUCUAUCUAUCGUGGGCGUAGGAAAUUUGAGGGGCGCUGUCCUUAGUACGAGAGGACCGGGAUGGACAAACCUCUGGUGUACCAGUUGUUCUGCCAAGAGCACAGCUGGGUAGCUAUGUUUGGAUUGGAUAAACGCUGAAAGCAUCUAAGUGUGAAACCAACCCCGAGAUGAGAUUUCCCUCUUUUGAUAAGGUCACUGGAAGACUACCAGUUGAUAGGCCGGGCGUGUAAGUGGUGAGAGCCAUUCAGCUUACCGGUACUAAUGACCGAAGACUUGACCA
rnacentral:rRNA from 3 species